rnacentral:rRNA from 1 species
UUUUGGUAGUCAUUAUCUUGUCUCAAAGAUUAAGCCAUGCAUGUCUAAGUAUAAGCAAUUAUACCGUGAAACUGCGAAUGGCUCAUUAAAUCAGUUAUCGUUUAUUUGAUAGUACCUUACUACUUGGAUAACCGUGGUAAUUCUAGAGCUAAUACAUGCUGAAAACCCCAACUUCGGGAGGGGUGUAUUUAUUAGAUAAAAAACCAACGCCCUUCGGGGCUUCUUGGUGAUUCAUGAUAACUUCACGGAUCGCAUGGCCUUGCGCCGGCGACGGUUCAUUCAAAUUUCUGCCCUAUCAACUUUCGAUGGUAAGGUAUUGGCUUACCAUGGUUUCAACGGGAAGCGGGGAAUAAACU